AUCUCUCGUUCACAGACAUAAUAACACACACAGAAAGAAAAAUGCCAAUUACACUCUCUCUUCUCCUACCCUAUCCCUCACUCUCGAUCUGCAUACACACACACACAAACUCCUAAUAUUCAUAUCCUCCAAACCUAAUACCCACACUAAUCCACUGCAAGACCAAAGAGAUAUGACAAACACUCACAUCUGCUCCCUUUUCCUCUCGACAGCCGGCGGCGGAUGAAGACACGCCGCUGCUCACGGCGGCGGCGGUGGUGGUGACUCCAAAGUGAUCCGACAGCCCCCCCUCCGGUGAGCGACGGUCAGGCGACAGAAGAGAGAGAGAACCGAUUUUGGUGGUGAGCGACGGCGGCGGUGGCGACGGAAACAGGCGGCGGAGGUCGGAGACGCGGACCGGUGGUAUGUGUCUCGGUCCAGCGGUUUGUGUCAUGGACCGGCGGUCCUCGUCCUUAUCCGACGGGUAUCUCCAUUUUUCCGGUCAGUUCGUUUAUCCAGCGGUCUUUCCAUUGGUCCGACGGGUCUCACGGGUUCGCAGUGGUUCGUGUUUUUAUCCGACAAGUUCUCCGUCGGAGGUGGCCGACUGUGGCAGCCGGCGACAACUUCUGUGAUGGUGGUGGCGGCUCAGGUCAAACACGAGUCAGACGGGUCUCGUUUCAAGUUUCGGGUUUUGGUUCGAGUCCACUCGAUUAAACCGAGUUAACUCGGUUCGGGUUCCCGGUACAAGAUAGUCAACGAGUUUUGGCUCGGUCAGGCGGUUCAGUCAACUCAUUCAGCGAGUCAACUCAGUCAGCGGGUCAACUCGGUUGACUCAGUCAACUCAGCGAGUCGACUCGGUCAACCCGGUUGGCUUGGUCAACUCAGCUUUUUGACACGAGAUUUUGGUAAAGAAAUUAACAAUCGUUAUGUUAAUUAUAUAGUUUUAUAUAAUUGAUUA